rnacentral:rRNA from 1 species
UUAAGUGACGAUAGCCUAGGAGAUACACCUGUACCCAUGCCGAACACAGCAGUUAAGCCCUAGAACGCCUGAUGUAGUUGGGGGGGUUGCCCCCCUGUGAGAUAAGGUAGUCGCUUAGC